rnacentral:lncRNA from 10 species
CACAAAAUCAUCUAGUAUCAUGCAGAAAAAAUGUCUAAAGAACCAAAACAGAUUCAAUGCAGUGACGGCAGAAAGUGUAUGGGCAUGAAGAUUCAAAGAAAAAGAUGCGGCCGUUGAAAGAUUUAUAUGCUCCUUUGCUCCAGCAGGUACCUGAACCACUAAGGCCAGUUUCACCAAAUUCAUUUAGUCCAGAAGCACCAACACCAAGUUCAUCUGCACUCUUACCUCCUCCACCACUUCCAGAAUCAGAAGACCAAGUGUUUCCUCCUAAUGGAAAUCAAAAUGAGAAAUCUCUUGAGACCUCACUCAGAGUGCACAUCCUUACCACAGUACAAGGCUAAUGAGCUUGGAUCGAUGGUGUUCUCAGCCCAGUGGACUGAAAACAAUAGAUUGAAGAUUUGUGGCAACCCUGUGACUACCAACUCUAUUGAAACCAUUUCUCCAAUAGCAUGAGCUCACUUCAGGCAAAAGAGUCAACAGAAAAAUGGGCAAAAUAAUGGGCAGGCAUUUCAAAGAAGAGAAGAGGAGACAGGCAUAUGGGAGCAUGUGAGGUUUUGGCAAUGUCCUUUUUUUGUGCCUGGGAUGGUGAAAAUUAUAGGAGGUUUGCCUUAUAACUAUUUUUAAUUCUGUCUCUGUGUGUUUAUGUGUUUAAGUAUAUAUAUUUGAAGAUUAUAUAUAUAUGCAUAUAUGCAAAUGAUGUUCUGUACAAAAUAUUAACAAAACUUUAAGAAUACCUGG